AAAAAUAAAAAAAAAAAAAAAAGAAGAAAAAAAAAAAAAAAAAAAAAAAAAAAAAAAAAAAAAAAAAAAAAAAAAAAAAGGGGGGGGGGGGGGGGGGGGG